UGGGGAAUAUUGCGCAAUGGGGGGAACCCUGACGCAGCCAUGCCGCGUGAAUGAAGAAGGCCUUAGGGUUGUAAAGUUCUUUCGGUAUUGAGGAAGGUUGAUGUGUUAAUAGCACAUCAAAUUGACGUUAAAUACAGAAGAAGCACCGGCUAACUCCGUGCCAGCAGCCGCGGUAAUACGGAGGGUGCGAGCGUUAAUCGGAAUAACUGGGCGUAAAGGGCACGCAGGCGGUUAUUUAAGUGAGGUGUGAAAGCCCCGGGCUUAACCUGGGAAUUGCAUUUCAGACUGGGUAACUAGAGUACUUUAGGGAGGGGUAGAAUUCCACGUGUAGCGGUGAAAUGCGUAGAGAUGUGGAGGAAUACCGAAGGCGAAGGCAGCCCCUUGGGAAUGUACUGACGCUCAUGUGCGAAAGCGUGGGGAGCAAACAGGAUUAGAUACCCUGGUGGUCCACGCUGUAAACGCUGUCGAUUUGGGGGUUGGGGUUUAACUCUGGCGCCCGUAGCUAACGUGAUAAAUCGACCGCCUGGGGAGUACGGCCGCAAGGUUA
rnacentral:rRNA from 1 species